UACGUAGGGUGCGAGCGUUAAUCGGAAUUACUGGGCGUAAAGCGUGCGCAGGCGGUUUGGUAAGACAGAUGUGAAAUCCCCGGGCUUAACCUGGGAAUUGCAUUUGUGACUGCCCGGCUAGAGUGUGUCAGAGGGGGGUAGAAUUCCACGUGUAGCAGUGAAAUGCGUAGAUAUGUGGAGGAAUACCGAUGGCGAAGGCAGCCCCCUGGGAUAACUCUGACGCUCAUGCACGAAAGCGUGGGGAGCAAACAGG
rnacentral:rRNA from 1 species